CAGUAGCCGCGGGAAUACGUAGGUGGCAAGCGUUGUCCGGAAUUAUUGGGCGUAAAGGGCUCGCAGGCGGUUUCUUAAGUCUGAUGUGAAAGCCCCCGGCUCAACCGGGGAGGGUCAUUGGAAACUGGGAAACUUGAGUGCAGAAGAGGAGAGUGGAAUUCCACGUGUAGCGGUGAAAUGCGUAGAGAUGUGGAGGAACACCAGUGGCGAAGGCGACUCUCUGGUCUGUAACUGACGCUGAGGAGCGAAAGCGUGGGGAGCGAACAGGUUUAGAUACCCCGGUAGUCCCUGUCUCUUAUAC
rnacentral:rRNA from 1 species